UACGUAGGGGGCUAGCGUUGUCCGGAUUUAUUGGGCGUAAAGAGCGUGUAGGCGGCCAAGUAGGUCCGGUGUGAAAACUCGAGGCUUAACCUCGAGAUGUCAUCGGAAACCAUUUGGCUAGAGUCCGGAAGAGGAAAGUGGAAUUCCAGGUGUAGCGGUGAAAUGCGUAGAUAUCUGGAGGAACAUCGGUGGCGAAGGCGGCAUCCUGGACCGGUAUUGACGCUGAGGCGCGAAAGCCAGGGGAGCAAACGGG
rnacentral:rRNA from 1 species